rnacentral:rRNA from 1 species
UGGGGAAUAUUGCACAAUGGGCGCAAGCCUGAUGCAGCCAUGCCGCGUGUAUGAAGAAGGCCUUCGGGUUGUAAAGUACUUUCAGCGAGGAGGAAGGCGUUGUGGUUAAUAACCGCAACGAUUGACGUUACUCGCAGAAGAAGCACCGGCUAACUCCGUGCCAGCAGCCGCGGUAAUACGGAGGGUGCAAGCGUUAAUCGGAAUUACUGGGCGUAAAGCGCACGCAGGCGGUCUGUCAAGUCGGAUGUGAAAUCCCCGGGCUCAACCUGGGAACUGCAUCCGAAACUGGCAGGCUAGAGUCUUGUAGAGGGGGGUAGAAUUCCAGGUGUAGCGGUGAAAUGCGUAGAGAUCUGGAGGAAUACCGGUGGUGAAGGCGGCCCCCUGGACAAAGACUGACGCUCAGGUGCGAAAGCGUGGGGAGCAAACA